rnacentral:rRNA from 1 species
CAUGUCCUUUUGAUAAAAAUUUAAGGUCUAAUCUGCUCAAUGAUAUUUAAAUAGCCGCAGUAUUUUGACUGUGCAAAGGUAGCAUAAUAAUUAGUUUCUUAAUUAGAAGCUGGAAUGAAUGAUUGGACAAGAAAAUUUCUGUCUCUUUCUUAAUUUUAUUGAAUUUUAUUUUUAAGUGAAAAAGCUUAAAUUUAUAUAAAAGACGAGAAGACCCUAUAGAGUUUAAUAGUUAAUUUUAAUAAAUACUUAGAAUAUUAAUUUAAAAUUAAUUAUUUAGUUGGGGUGACUAAAAGAUUUAAAAAAUUCUUUUAAAAAUUAAGUUGAAUAUUUUCAAUUUUCUAAUCUAUAGUUUAUAAAACUAAAAUAAAUUACCUUAGGGAUAACAGCGUAAUUUUUCUUAAAAGUUCUUAUUAAAAGAAAAGUUUGCGACCUCGAUGUUGGAUUAAAAUUAAUUUUUGGUGCAAUAACUUAAAAAUUAGGUCUGUUCGACCUUUAAAAUUUUACAUGAUCUGAGUUUAGACCGGUGUAAGCCAGGUCGGAUUCUAUCUUUAGAAAUUUAUUAUAUCUUAGUACGAAAGGACCAGUUAUAAGUUAAAUUAAUUGU